rnacentral:rRNA from 1 species
UGCCCAGACUCCUACGGGAGGCAGCAGUGGGGAAUAUUGGGCAAUGGGCGCAAGCCUGACCCAGCAACGCCGCGUGAAGGAAGAAGGCCCUCGGGUUGUAAACUUCUUUUAUCAGGGACGAAACAAAUGACGGUACCUGACUAAGAAGCCCCGGCUAACUACGUGCCAGCAGCCGCGGUAAUACGUAGGGGGCAAGCGUUAUCCGGAUUUACUGGGUGUAAAGGGAGCGUAGACGGCAUGGCAAGUCAGAUGUGAAAGCCCGGGGCUCAACCCCGGGACUGCAUUUGAAACUGUCAGGCUGGAGUGCAGGAGAGGUAAGUGGAAUUCCUAGUGUAGCGGUGAAAUGCGUAGAUAUUAGGAGGAACACCAGUGGCGAAGGCGGCUUACUGGACUGUAACUGACGUUGAGGCUCGAAAGCGUGGGGAGCAAACAGGAUUAGAUACCCCAGUAC